ACAAAAUGUUCAUGUGCUUGGCUGUUAACCAAAAGGUUGGUGGUUCGAGUCCACC
rnacentral:tRNA from 1 species